rnacentral:tRNA from 1 species
GUAUCUGUGGUGUAGUGGUUAUCACAUCCGCCUAACACGCGGAAGGUCCCAGGUUCGAUCCCUGGCAGAUACA